CGCCUCUCCCAUUCAUUCCGCCUCGUCACCCCGGGCGGCUCUGUGGCUGGCGGUGGAAGCAGCCCACGGUGCCCGGGGCCAUAAAGCCCGUCCCGGAGCCGAAGCCAGCGAGUCCCCUGCCCGCUAGCGCCGGGGAGCCGCAGCCGCUCGACCUCGCAGGAUCGUGCCCGAGCGCGCCUCCGGGCCGGGGAUGCCGGGGGACGGCGGCCGGGCGCUGCGCUGCUUGCUGGCCGCAGUGGGGCUGCUCUCGGCGCUGAGCGCCGCGGGGACGCUCUUCCUGCUGGGCCAGUGGAGGGAGCUGAGCGCGGCGCUGCGGGAGCUGGAGGCUGCGCGGCCCCAGGGGGGAGACACUGACAGCAUCCUGCGGUCCCUCUUGGGCCCCACCGCCCCGGGGGCAGCGGCCCCAGGAGCCGCCCGGCACAAGAGGAGCCACCGCGGAGCGGGCGCCAGGGGCCACGUUCGGGCCGAGAACGACGAGUUGCUCAUGAUGAUGACCUACUCCAUGGUGCCGGUCCGUGUGAUGGUGGAUUUAUGUAACAGCACAAAAGGGAUAUGCUUAACAGGCCCUCCAGGCUCCCCAGGGCCUCCUGGACUCGAUGGAUUACCUGGCUACAAUGGAUCAGAUGGCAUCCCUGGCAUCCCAGGGCCAAAGGGGGAACCAGGAAUAAAUGGAAGAAGAGGAAAAAUAGGUUUACCAGGACCAAAAGGCGAUCCAGGAGAGAAAGGAGAAAAAGGAGACCCUGGUGAACUGGGCUUACCUGGCAAAGACGGGAUGCCAGGAGGGAAAGGUUCAAGAGGCGCAAAGGGGGACAAAGGGGAUGCAAACAAUGACGUGAUAUCAGAAGGUGCAAAGGGAGAGCCAGGGCCCCCAGGGCCCCCAGGGCCGCAAGGUCCUCCCGGGCCACCAGGGAAGCGCAAAGCAAAAUCCCAGGUUCAGGAGAACAUGUACAGCAGCAAGUGCACAGGUGAGACAUGUGCCAUACCAAAUGAUGACACGCUGGUAGGAAAAGCUGAUGAGAAAACCAAUGGAUACCAACCAAAAAAAGCUGAAUGCAUCGUUAAAUCAAUAGGAAGUCCCACUGAGAUGGGUAAGAUACAGCAAACAUUUGGAACAUGGAUGAGGGAACCCGCAAAUAGAAGUGAUGACAGAAUUUGGCUUACGAUGCAUUUUUCAGGAAACUUCAUAAAAGAAUAUGAGAAUGCAAACGCAUUGCUGAAUGACAGCUACAGGAUCAUUAACCUCACGGGGAUCUUUUAUGGAUGUGGCCAUGUGAUAUAUAACAACUGCCUAUACUAUCAAAAAGGAGGAACCAGUAUCAUUGUGAAAUUUGAGCUUGAUACAGCAUCAUUCAGAACCCUGAGAAUUGAAAAUGCCUUACACGAUAGUCGCCACUACCUCUUUUCUAACGCUAAGACGUACUUCAACGUGGCAGUGGAUGAAAAGGGUCUUUGGAUUAUCUAUGCCUCAAGUAUUGAUGAAAAUAUCAUUGUAGCACAUAUUGACGAAGAGACAUUUUCAGUCGUUCAGCAUAUCAACACUACAUACCCCAAGUCCAAAGCUGGCAAUGCAUUCAUAGCAUGUGGAGUGCUAUAUGUUACUGAUACUAAGGAUAUGAGGGUAACUUUUGCUUUUGAUUUGUUGAGAGAGAAGCAAAUCGAUGCAAGCUUUGAGUUAAGAUCAGCACAAUCUGUUCUUGCUAUGCUUUCAUAUAGUCUAAGAGAUAGAGACUUGUAUACAUGGGAAAAUGGCUAUUUAAUGCAAUACCAUGUACAUUUUGACAGCUGAAUGCUAUUUUAAAAUGAUACAUCAUGCUGGCCAUAUUGGGCUAAGUAGGUUAUUUAAAGCUGUAUCUUAUACAUCUCCUCCCUGCAGAAUACACACAUUUUCUAUUGAUGGUUAGUGGUUGUUUGUGUGUGCAUAAAGGGGAGACCAGACUCCCUUGUGUCAUUUAAAUAUACUUAAAUUAUAUAGGCAAUUCUUAGCUUUAUAGAGGAAGAGCUGUGUGUUAGAAACUUAUUUUUGUUUUUUUCCCUACCAUGCAGGACAUAAUUAUAUCUACUGUCUACUGAUUAUUCUACAAUACUAUGUUCAAUAGGGUCUGUUUUUACUCUUAAUUUACAAUUACUGUCUACAAUUAUCUUCUAGUCAGUGAUUAUAGCUUAGUAUAAAUGUCUAAACAAUGUUUACAAAUAAGCUUCUUUGUAUCAUUUCCAUUUAAUACCUUGCAUCAACUCUGAAUUUUGUUUAGUUGUGAUAUUUUUUAAAAAAUUGAUGUACAGUGAUUAAAAUGAUCAGGGACAGUAAUUUUUGUACUAAAGUAAAUACCGUAAAGACCAAAGUAAUAGUUUAUUAAAAACUCAUUCCAUAUUUAUAAGUCAAAAUAGAAAAAAGCAAGAAUCCUGAAAUUUGACAAAUCUGGCUAACUACUAAAUAACCACAAAGCAAAUAGAGAGGUGAUGUAAAUGUUGGCUAGUGAAAUGUGAACUCAGGUACUCAGUGGGAGGAGGUGCUACACUCGGAAAUGUAGUCAGAGCAGGUGAAGCUCCUUUUAUUUAUCUUUUUUUUUUUUGGAUUGCUUAUCUUGAGCUAACCUCAUCUUUCUCACCAUUUUAUGGAAGUGUAACUUGCCCUACUAUGCUUCCAAGAAAUUGGGCCCAAAUUUACACAAAACUCCUAGUCACAAAUGAAGACUCUACUGUUGUAUUAGCAUAUUAUAUAAAAAAACAGCAACCUAAAACUUUGAAUGAGAGUGAAUGUACUGGUCAAAGUGCUUGAUGAUGAAAUUGGUUGUCCUGCUUAACUUUAGUCUUGGAUUACAUUCAAAUAUAGCCAGGAACUUUUGAUCUUGAUCACUAGGAAAAACAACAUUUUAGAGGCUGGAAGGGAUUAAAUUUGUUUGGCCUUUAAGAAUAAUGUAUUUAGUAGUUUGACUACUAGCAACUAGGCUAUGUAGCUCUUUGUUUAAAUUGCGUGGUUUGAAACUCUACUCCAUUUCAUAUUGGUUGAGCCUGAUUCAUCACUGGCUUGAGCCCUGCAUAGUCAUGUAGUCACACUUGCGCAAAGCAGGUGUAAUAUGUUACCACGUUAAAAUGGUAGCAUUUAACACUCACUUUUAAAUGGGUGUAAAUGACAGCACAAGGCAGAGGUGAAUCAGGCCUUUGUGUUUAAGGCAAACAGGCCAGAGUUUCAACAUCCAUGUGUUCUACAGCACCAUGUGAAGGAAUUUAAUUAACUUCAGAUCCAUUGGUAUCUUUACAAGCUGAUAAAAACAAGUCAACAGUUCCCAGGAACGGCUGUACCGGCCAGCUGCCAGUGCAUAUCUCAUUUGAAAAAAGAAAAGCAUAUUGGAUAUGAUUAUCAGACCUAUACAACGUUAAACUGAGAGAUUGGCCUAAAAAAGCAUCAUAAGAUGGAAACCUCCCCCAUCAAUGCAGCCACCUGCACAGGCAGGUGACCUUCACUAGCAAUUUGCCCCUGCCUAUCUCAAUGCUCCCACACUAAAAAGAAGUCAGCACCAACCUUUCAAAUUAAACAUCAGGCAAAGGAACAUUGUUGAAUGGGUUAUGUUCUCAGUGUCACUCAUAUUUUUUAGAGUUGUCACAAAAUAGUGAUGUGCCAUCUACAAUGUAUCUUACUGUCUAUAGAAAAAGGUAGGUUAUUUAUGAGCAACAGCUUUCUGUGAUGAUUUGAGGAAAUUUUCUGUGGACAACAAAUGAAUUCUGUUGAAAUUAUGAACAUCUGUUUGCAUCAGCCUGCAGAUGCCAUUUUGAAUGUGGGGGUUGGUUACCUUCUCUGAUGUUUUACCACCAUGUUUUCCAAGGGAGGUAGUAGCACAGGGCUAACAAUGUAAGGUUGUUAAAUCUUGAUAGCUCUCUAGUCAAAUAGGAGGCUCCUAAACAAAAGGCUGACUUCUGCCAGAAGUUAGUUUAUCAGGGGAAUCACCUGGUGAGAGGUCUAUGCUCACCUUUGUGACUGAUCAGGUGGUCACAUGACAGAGGAGACUGGUAGUUUAUAAAAGGACAGGAGGGCAGUCCUCUGGUUUUUUGGUUAUUUUUCACCACCUCAAGCUGUUGGAAGCUGUUUCAGGAGCUUGAGGAGGCCAGAGCUCACUGAUCACAGUUGAACCCCACCAAAGACUUCCAAGGUAAGGGUGAACUAGAGUGAAAGGCACUGCAGCUGGAGUGCUAGUUUUCUCUGUGCGCUCCUGUACUUUCUCUCUUAAGAAUUGAAUUGCGACUAUGUAAACAACUCCCUUUU